rnacentral:rRNA from 1 species
UACGUAGGGUGCAAGCGUUAAUCGGAAUUACUGGGCGUAAAGCGUGCGCAGGCGGUCAUGCAAGACAGAUGUGAAAUCCCCGGGCUCAACCUGGAAUUGCAUUUGUGACUGCAUGGCUGGAGUGCGGCAGAGGGGGAUGGAAUCCGCGUGUAGCAGUGAAAUGCGUAGAUAUGCGGAGGAACACCGAUGGCGAAGGCAAUCCCCUGGGCCUGCACUGACGCUCAUGCACG